CGCGGAGUAGAGCAGUUGGUAGCUCGUCGGGCUCAUAACCCGGAGGUCGCAGGUUCAAGUCCUGCCUCCGCAACCA
rnacentral:tRNA from 4 species